GAGGAGAUACUACAGAUCCAAUAAAACUCCUCCUGAUGGAGUACUUUGAGGAGGAGCCAAAGGUGCUGCUGCUAAAUUAGGAAGUAAGCACACAGCAUAAGAAAACUGAUCAUUUUAUUGUAAUUUGGUUUAGUAGGUAGGGAAUGUAGUGACACACUGAUAACAAUGUUACCACUGUCAAUACAGAGUCCUGAGCAUUGCAGGGAAAUUCCACAGAAAAACAACAUUUUGUGAUUCAGAUAUGUCCGUGUCUUCACCUCUCUUUUAGGAUGCCUUAGCAGAACUGCUAAGCAACCAGUGCAUCAUAGUUGUGGGUAAGGAUAUUCAUGUCAGCUCUUAAAUAUUUGAAAGUGCUGUUUAUUUGUUUCAUUGAUUAAUUUUUUUUUUUGCAGAUGAAGGAAACAAAAUAACAGUGGAUGAAGUCACAGUAAAUCAUCAGCUGUUCUCUGGUUGCUGUCAGCUAUGUGUUCAGCCUUAUCAGUCUUAUACGUGCUGAACAUCAUGUUCCCCAAGGGAGCAACCCGGACUCUGGAAUAUAUCCAGAGAAGCCUGCAGAAUGUGGGUUUGAAGCAGAAAAAAGGGCACAAAACAAUACAACAUUCCACCAAAACUGCUUCGAUUCCUGUCGGACCCGAGUGACUUCCAGAAUCCUUGAAGAUUUAAAGCCAUAGAAGUAGCAUCUGGAACGGAGAGAAAGGAGUGUGGUGUGUUUGUGUGUCUCAGUCUCAACAGGCAUGCUAUUGUACUCCCAUCACCAACUAGACACUCAAAAUGAUGGAAUUAUUCAAUUGUGUUUUGUUCUUAAUAGUUCAUUACAUUUACUGUGAUACAACAAACUUUUAUAGUACAAACAUGUUAUUUGGCAGCAUUAUUGAUUAUUGUUCGCACAGUAGCUGUAGAAUUCAUGUAUCCCCUUUUCUUGCUUA